rnacentral:rRNA from 1 species
GAUGUGAAAUCCCCGGGCUCAACCUGGGAACUGCGUUCGAAACUGCAAGGCUAGAGUGUGUCAGAGGGGGGUAGAAUUCCACGUGUAGCAGUGAAAUGCGUAGAGAUGUGGAGGAAUACCAAUGGCGAAGGCAGCCCCCUGGGAUAACACUGACGCUCAUGCACGAAAGCGUGGGGAGCAAACAGGAUUAAUACCCUGGUAGUCCACGCCCUAAACGAUGUCAACUAGUUGUUGGUAGAGUAAAAUCUAUGAGUAACGUAGCUAACGCGUGAAGUUGACCGCCUGGGGAGUACGGUCGCAAGAUUAAAACUCAAAGGAAUUGACGGGGGCCCGCNCAAGCGGUGGAUUAUGUGGAUUAAUUCGAUGCAACGCGAAAAACCUUACCUGGCCUUGACAUGUACCGAAUUGAGCAGAGAUGUUCAAGUGCUUGAAAGAGAACGGUAACACAGGUGCUGCAUGGCUGUCGUCAGCUCGUGUCGUGAGAUGUUGGGUUAAGUCCCGCAACGAGCGCAACCCUUGCCAUUAAUUGCCAUCAUUUAGUUGGGCACUUUAAUGGGACUGCCGGUGACAAACCGGAGGAAGGUGGGGAUGACGUCAAGUCCUCAUGGCCCUUAUGGCCAGGGCUUCACACGUAAUACAAUGGUCGGUACAGAGGGUUGCCAACCCGCGAGGGGGAGCCAAUCCCAGAAAGCCGAUCGUAGUCCGGAUUGUAGUCUGCAACUCGACUGCAUGAAGUCGGAAUCGCUAGUAAUCGCGGAUCAGCAUGUCGCGGUGAAUACGUUCCCGGGCCUUGUACACACCCGCCCC